UCAGCUCAGGUCUGCGUCAUUAUAAUUGAAAAAAAGAUCAUUUACAGUGAUUCACUUUAGCUUUAACAUAGAGAGAUCAAAAGGAAACUACUUACACAUUAUUUGAUAGAAGCAAAACAACUUCAUGAAUUUGCAACUGAUCAUGGUAACAUGCAAUCAACUGAAGUAUUAUUAGUGUUGACUCUUACAGCAAUUAAUCAGUCAAGGUUGGCAAAUAAAUGAAUAAUACAAAACUUAGAAGAGAAGACGCUCACUUCAUCCAGCAUUCAAUGCCAAUGUGCCUGAUCGCAUGACAGUGUAUUGAGCAACCUGAUUAAAAUUUUUCAUCAUGAUAUAAAGCAUUAAAAGCUAAUGACUCCAGUGUACUAGUAACUACACCUCAUAUUCAAGACUGAACCAGAAGAGAAGCAAUAUAGUCCAACUGUCAUUGCUAGUAAUGUCUUCUUGGAAGCUAAUCUUUUGAGACGCAAACACCUAUGGCAGUUGGUAUAUGAGCAGUUUUGAGAGACCAGAUCCAAUCAAGCAAAGAAAGUGAAACCUUACAUCAAAGGAAACAACUAAAGGCACUUCCUCUCCAAAUGGACCAACAUCAUCCCUUUACAUCUCCUACAAUUUAAAAGAGAGAGGACUUCUUUCCUUCCCUGCAUACUGAGCAUAAUAAGAACACUGCAAGUUCAAAGCUGAUAGAAUAUUGGACUUAAAAUUCAGAUAUUAUAAAUUCUAAAGAGUGCUCUAUCUUUGCUAUACCAAACAGCAUCAUAAUUAUUCAAAGUAGUUAGUGAAGUGCAAAGGGAGGACAAGUAUCUAUGUCAUUCAUACUCAUUUAAAGUACACAGGUUUUAAUAUUACAUCCACUUCCAAAGUUCAAGCUCCUUCUGAUCUUUUAAUUUGAUGGAAACCAAAUAAGUGAAGUGAAAAGUUGGCUAUUGGGAACCCAAAAUAGCAAUAAAGGAUUCAAUGGGAUUCUGUUGCGGGCCCGAGUCUGGGAUCAAGUCACCAAACGAGUAGCACAAAAAUCAGAUUCGAACGAAGGGUCUUUGCCCUUAUUUCGAUUCCUAUUUUUUCCUGUGGUUAUUGAACUCUUAAGGGAGUUGCCUACCUUGAAACUCUAAGCGAGUUGCCUACCUUAAACUUACUGAAACUUUCAACUUUCAACUUGUAAUAUUCAUGAAUUAUUUUCCUAUUUAAACAGAGUUUAAAAAUUAGGUAAUAGAUGCCAAGCCCAAAUCUGAUAGCAUACUGGGAAAGUCUUAUUUAAACUAAUAAGGAAAUUCUUAAAAAUAAAAUCAGAAUUAAAUCCCACAAAACUAGAAUCACAUCACAAUGAAAUCAAAAUCAGAACCCUUUUCCUACUGCUGGUUUCUUGCGUCUGGCAUAGUUCUUCGCCACAAAGGCAUCGGUAACAGAUUCUGUAUUACAUUUCUGUUCAACUCCUUUUGUAACCAGCAAAAUCUAACAUUCCAUAUAGUUCCAAUGAUAAAUUGGUAGUAUAUUUAUAUUUCUAACUUCUGGGCACCUAAUUUACAAAAUGAUUAGAACUUCAGAUACAAAACUAAUCAACAUAUCACGGAUGGACAUUUUCUCCUUUGCAAAAUAAAACAUGCGAUAUUGCCUCACACCCACACACACACACAGAGAAGGAAUAAAAGCUGAAUAUGCAAACUAAAAACCGAACUGACAUGUAAUGGCUGGGAUCUGUCGCACUUGCAAAUACAGACCAAUAAAUAUGGUUGAAACAAUGACUCAAAAUGGCACUUUUAGAAUAAAUUUGCUGACUGAGAGCUCUAAUAAACACAAAAUCAUAUCUAUCUCAAGCAACAGAAAACGUAAACGAACAACUAAAUCCAUUGAUGUUUGGAUCACUCACAAGUUCUAGAUGUUCAAUCCUAGUUUCUAGCUUGGAUGCAAUAACAUGCACUUGAAGCCACUCAAAAACUUCAAGUUCACCUUGUCUCCUUUCCUAAAUCAUUUUACAUGUUCUAUCCGUACAUAUUAUAGACUGAGAAAUCUGUCAAAAGAUAGCCUUAAUGGUUAGCCUUGCAACGAAACAAGCAUCCUUCACCUAGAAUACCGAGCACCAUGAAGAUUAAUACCUCAAUCGAGGCCAGCCUAGAUGAUAUGUAACAGGUCCCAGUUUGGACCGUCCUUAAUCAACGAAAUUUAAAAACAUUUAUCAACCAACCUGUUUUAGGUAAUCAUCUAAAAGCACUAUAACAUGAUCAUCCUGCCCAGUAUCGAGAAUGAAAAUAUGCACUGCUUUAUGCUUCCUCCCUCCUUAGAGACUGCAAAAAAUGAGAACAUAUUACAAAAAUCACAUGGGACUAAGUAAAAAGUUAUCCUACAUAAAUGCAGGGGAAACCACAAGCGACUGAGCAAAGUCAUUGAAUAUGUAAAUGCAGGGGAAAAAGUAGCAAGAAAUUUUCCAAUCAAAUAAACCCCUAACAAGCAAUAACAUUUACAUGCUCACUUCAAAAGAACUAGACACUUACCAUCCAGAUAGUUAGGAUCUUGAUUAUUAUGUUCAGCGAAACAUUACCCAGAUAUGAACUUACAUUUGAAACAAGAAUACUCAACUAGCUAUAGUAUUCGAGGUUUCAGCGUAAAAUACACAAGCAUAACAUGCAAAGAAACUCAACAACAACAUUUAAUUCAAAAAGGUUGAGGAACCAAAGCUGGAGCUAUUCAAUUGAGACUACAAAGAAAGGUUGAAUUGCGACCUUGAAACAGAACCAAAUCAAAUGAAAGGAUUUUAGUUUUAUAGCUUUAAACAAAGUUUAUAUAAAAAGCAUUUAAACAACAAAAGAGGCUUGUUAUUUAACUCAAAUUUAAGAAGCAGAGAGGUAACCAUAUCAGCAAAUUUUGUAGUAAUUGUUUGAAUGUCAGGGUUUUUUCUUUUAUUGCACCGAGAGAAAAUGAACGAUCAGCAUCGCCACUGUUGGCCUCGAACUUUUCUUCUGCUGGUUCCCUAAUGCUUUCUGUUUUUAAGUUUCACCCGUACACGUGUAAAGAAGCUAAGUUCAUAUAACAAAAUUACAACCAGGAUGAAUGGGUAAGAAUAUCAGUGACAUUAAAUAUUUUAGUGUGAAAUAAAAAGUAAUUUAAGAUUUUAUAUAUUUC
rnacentral:lncRNA from 1 species